UGUGGGAGCGAGCUUGCUCGCGAUGAGGUCAUAACAUUCAGCAUCUAUGUUGACUGUUAUACCGCCAUCGCGAGCAAGCUCGCUCCCACA
rnacentral:misc_RNA from 1 species